GCACAAAGAAGUCUUUUCUGGGGAGUGAGGUAAACUCAUGGAAUUGCAAAGAUGAACAGCUGGAAACUCAGAAGGUUCCCUGACCCCUCAAGGCCAGGAAGUCUCUGCUCUUCUGACCCCAAAUCACAAGUUUGUCCAGCAUCCACAAAGACCUUCCUCCAGGGGUGGAAUAAAGGGCUCAGUCACCAGUUUCCAUGGCCCAACAGAACUCUACCACUGUGUAACCCAAGCCAGGCUCCCACCGGAGUGACUGACACAUGUUGGAAACUCAUGUGCAUUUGACUCUGACCUUUGUAGUUCUCACCACCCAUGUUGUAAGAGGAUUCUCCAGCGGGGACGAAACCUUUCCCUCUAGGGCACAUUUCCGUAAACUCAGCUGAUUUGAAGAGAGACAAAACCAAAUAAAACAAUGAGUUGAAAAAGGAAA